rnacentral:rRNA from 1 species
GACGAACGCUGGCGGCGUGCUUAACACAUGCAAGUCGAACGGUAAGGCCCUUCGGGUACGACGAGUGGCGAACGGGUGGAGUAACACGUGGGUGGAUCUGCCCUGCACUUCGGGAUAAGCCUGGGAAACUGGGUCUAAUACCGGAUAGGACUCCUGGCUUCAUGGUUGGGGGUGGUAAAGCUUUUGCGGUGUGGGAUGGCCCGCGGCCUAUCAGCUUGUUGGUGGGGUAAUGGCCUACCAAGGCGACGACGGGUAGCCGGCCUGAGAGGGUGACCGGCCACACUGGGACUGAGAUACGGCCCAGACUCCUACGGGAGGCAGCAGUGGGGAAUAUUGCACAAUGGGCGCAAGCCUGAUGCAGCGACGCCGCGUGAGGGAUGAUGGCCUUCGGGUUGU